GACGAACCGUGCGAACGUUGUUCGGAAUCACUGGGCUUAAAGGGCGCGUAGGCGGGCUGCCAAGUUUGGGGUGAAAUCCUCCGGCUCAACCGGAGAAGCGGCCUCAAAUGACUGGCGGUCUCGAGGGGGGUAGGGGCAUGCGGAAGCUAUGCGUGGAGCGGUGAAAUGCGUUGAUAUGCAUAGGAACUCCGGUGGCGAAGGCGGCGUGCUGGACCCUUUCUGACGCUGAGG
rnacentral:rRNA from 1 species